rnacentral:rRNA from 1 species
UACGUAGGGUGCAAGCGUUGUCCGGAAUUAUUGGGCGUAAAGAGCUUGUAGGCGGUUUGUCGCGUCUGCUGUGAAAUUUCGGGGCUCAACCCCGAACUUGCAGUGGGUACGGGCAGACUAGAGUGCGGUAGGGGAGACUGGAAUUCCUGGUGUAGCGGUGAAAUGCGCAGAUAUCAGGAGGAACACCGAUGGCGAAGGCAGGUCUCUGGGCCACUACUGACGCUGAGAAGCGGAAAGCAUGGGGAGCGAACAGG